rnacentral:rRNA from 1 species
AUAGUUAAUUAGUAUUGUGAAAGAAUUUUGAAAUAUUAUGAAAAAUAAAAUUUUUAGAAAGUAAUUUUUAUUUAUUGUAUCUUGUGUAUCAGAGUUUAUUAAAAAUUUUUAAUUUAUAAAUUAAUUUCUCGAAUUUAAAAGAGUUAAAUAAUUAUUAAAGUUAUUGUAGCAAAAUUAUUUUAAAUAAUUAUUUAGAAAUGAAAUGUUAAUCGUUUUUAAAUAUAUCUAGUUUUUAUAGAAAAAAAUUUAAUUUUAAAUUUAAAAAUUAUUUAAUUAAUUUAUUAAUUAAAUAAUUAUUUUAAUUUUAUAAUUUAAGGGAUAAGCUUUAAAUUAAAAUUUUAUAAUAUUAAAUUUUUAUUUUGAAAAUUUUAUAAUUUAUAUUGUUAAUAAAUUUUAUUUUGUUAUAAAUAAUUUCAUUUUUUUAAAAUUUAAAUUUUAUUUAAUUUUUUAUAUAAAAUUUAUUUAUAAUUAUAUAAAGUUAAUUAUAAUGAUAAAAUUAGUAUAUUAUUUAAUAUUAAAUUAAAAUUAAUUUUUGAUUAAUAAUUAAAUUAAUUAAAAGGAAUUCGGCAAAUAUUUAUUUUCACUUGUUUAUCAAAAACAUGUCUUUUUGUUAUUUAAUUUAAAGUCUAAUCUGCCCACUGAUUUAUAAAAAUUGAAGGGCUGCAGUAUAUUGACUGUACAAAGGUAGCAUAAUCAUUAGUCUCUUAAUUGGUGACUUGUAUGAAAGAUUGGAUGAAAAAUAUACUGUCUCUUAAUUAAUAUAUAGAAUUUAAUUUUUUAUUUAAAAAGUUAAAAUAAUUUAAAAAGACGAGAAGACCCUAUAGAGUUUAAUAAAUUAUUUUAUGAAAGUUUUAUUUAUAAUUACUAAUAAUUUUAUAAAUUUAUUUAUUUUGUUGGGGUGAUAAAAAAAUAAAUUUAACUUUUUUUAAGUAAUUUACAUGAAUAAGUGAUUAAU